rnacentral:rRNA from 1 species
AACCUGGUUGAUCCUGCCAGUAGUCAUACGCUCGUCUAAAAGAUUAAGCCAUGCAUGUCUAAGUAUAAAUGCUUUAUACUGUGAAACUGCGAAUGGCUCAUUAUAUCAGUUAUAGUUUAUUUGAUAGUACCUUACUACUUGGAUAACCGUAGUAAUUCUAGAGCUAAUACAUGCGUAAAGUCCCGAUGGGAUGUAUUUAUUAGAUCGAAACCAAUGCGCUUCGGCGGUAUUUUGGUGAGUCAUAAUAACUGUGCGGAUCGUAUGGCCUUGUGCCGACGAUGAAUCAUUCAAGUUUCUGCCCUAUCAGUUUCGAUGGUAGGAUAUUGGCCUACCAUGGCGUUAACGGGUAACGGAGAAUUAGGGUUCGAUUCCGGAGAGGGAGCCUGAGAAACGGCUACCACAUCUAAGGAAGGCAGCAGGCGCGUAAAUUACCCAAUCCUGACUCAGGGAGGUAGUGACAAGAAAUAACGGACCGAAGCC